rnacentral:rRNA from 1 species
GAUGAACGCUGGCGGCGUGCCUUACACAUGCAAGUCGAGCGAACGGACGAGAAGCUUGCUUCCCUGGUGUUAGCGGCGGACGGGUGAGUCACACGUGGAUAACCUACCUAUAAGACUGGGAUAACUUCGGGAAACCGGAGCUAACACCGGAUAAUAUGUUGAACCGCAUGGUUCAACAGUGCUAGACGGUCUUGCUGUCACUAAUAGAUGUAUCCGCGCUGCAUUAGCUAGUUGGUAAGGUAACGGCUUACCAAGGCAACGAUGCAUAGCCGACCUGAGAGGGCGAUCGGCCACACUGGAACUGAGACACGGUCCAGACUCCUACGGGAGGCAGCAGUAGGGAAUCUUCGGCAAUGGGCGAAAGCCUGACGGAGCAACGCCGCGUGAGUGAUGAAGGUCUUCGGAUCGUAAAGCUCUGUUGUUAGGGACGAAAAGAUGUGUGAGAAACUGUGGACAUGUUGACGGUACCUAAUGAGAAAGCACCGGCUAACUACGUG